CUUUAGGGAUAGCCAUGCAAAGCCUCUUGAGCGCAGUGGGAGUGCUCCUUCCACUGCGUUCAGGAGGCUUUGCGUUGCUUUCGCUGAAG